rnacentral:rRNA from 1 species
AUGCCGGAGGGCGCGACGGCGUUGGAGAUCCCCACCGACCGGCCAGCCUUCUACGAGUGUUUCAAGUCCUUUGGUGUCCCCGCGGCCGCGACCGCGUUCCGCCUGGUGACUCCGCCGACGGAGACACGCGCGUCCCGCCCAGAACGCAUCACCAUCUACAUGCCUCCUCCCCCUCCCGAGAUGGUCUACUUCGCCAAGCGCUUCGCGUACGCCUACAUCGCCCCGCUCGAGCUCCCGCAGAGCUUCGAGCUCCUGCCGCCCGGCCACGGCGCCGACGCGACGGUGCGCUUCCGCACGCCCGACGACCGGGAGGCGGCCAUGCGCCGGCAGCCGUUCGAGCUCGACGGCGCCACCGUGAAGCUGGUGCACGAGGGGGAGACCAGCAACUGCUCCCGCGCCAGGAACGACUACGUCGCCCACGUCGCGCUGCACGACUACCCCGUCGAGCAGCGCACACAGAAGGAGAUCGGCGCCAACUGCGGCAGGUUCGGGUUCGUCCGCGAGAUCGACCCGGCCUGCUUCGCGGCGCCCGACCUCGCCACCGUCCGCGUGGUCCUCCAGCUCGAGGACCCUCGAGAGAUCCCCCGCCACGUCCGGAUCAGGUACCAUGGUGGCUCCACCAGCGUCAUCCCCGUCGAGGUCGUCAGGCUUUGGGACCACGCACACUCCUCCGACGCCCAUGGACAGUACGUUCCUCUCUUCCAGGCCCCGACCGCGGCGGCUUGA